GCGCACUGGUCACUGCGGGGGCGAGCACGUCAGUCGGGCGCGCUCCCGGCGCCCCGCGCAGCCCCGCCCCCUCGCGCAGCCCCGCGCGCACCGUUAAGAAAAAAGUAGAGCCGCGCCACUGGGCGCUGGUCGUGCAGGAUGGAGCAAGAGAAGGUCCCGCUGUGCGUGGGCUGCACCGGCCGGAUCCGCGCCAGGCCCCGCCUCUCACCUGGGCAGUCCAGCGGGAAGUUGCAGGCCUUGGAGUAGCACCCGUAGCAGAGGAAACGCCGGGCGACAUCCUGGAACCCUGUGGGACCGAAGCGUGCACCUGGGCUCCGUCUGCGUUCCCCAGCCAGGGUCCCUUUGGCCAACUUAAGGUCUGUUAAGCCUCCGGGCUCUAUCGGCCAGACAGGCCCUGGGCGCCGCCUUCCCUGCGCUCACUGGCUGACUCGCCACACUCUCUGGCCUCUAGGACUCCUAUUGGCUUGUUUUUGCUUUCAGGCCCGCCUUAUAUGAGGUUUGUGAGCAAUACCUGGUUUUAUUACUUUUCUCCAGGGCUCUUAUUGGCCUCCUUCGGACCCGACGCCCACCCAGGUUUCGAUCCCGACCACCUCCCUGCCCCCUCAAUUCUGAGCUUUGAAUGAGGUGCUUACCGCAGGGAGGGACGCAGGCCUGGGCUGUGGAGAGAGAGACAUAACUACCUUGGAGGGCCUGGAAGUGUCCAUCUGGAGCUCCCAUAGGCGAUGUUACUGGGCCAGAUGCUUUCCUCCUACGGGGCGGGGCCAGGCCUGCCGCGGCCCACCUAGGGGGCGGAGCCAGGCCUGCCGCGGGCGAUCCAGGGGCGAGGCCUGAUCUGCCACCGCCCACCUAGGGGGCGGGGCCAGGCCUGCUGCAUUCCAGUAACGUCAGGCCCAGGCAUGCUGUUUCUAAGGGCGCUGGGCGGACCCCAGUGUGUUCCACUGAGGGAGCGGGGCUAGACCCCCGGGCGAUUGUUUUAGGGACAGGGCCUAACUAGCGGGCUCAGAGUAGAGGUGUUGGCUAGGCUAGAAUUCCCCCACUGAGGGGGUCCACUUGGAAAGGAAAUGUCAGAGUGCGCCGACAGAUCCAGGGAGAGGCCCAGGCCAAUCUGGGACGGAACCAUCCCAAGAAGGGGUCCUAGCUGGAGAGGAAACCUUCCACCGAAGCGGGGACCACAUCCAGAGUGGUCCUGGCAGGGGGAGAGGCUGUGUCAGGAGUGACCCACCGAGGGCAGCGGCUCAGAGGGACUGGGCAGAAGGGAGAGGAUGGCUGGCUCAGGAAUUUUCUAAUUGUGUGUGUUGCGCCUAAGGGAAGGAACUGGAGCCUCUUUUACCUCCUUUAAGCUUCAUAAUGACCUUCCGCAUUUUCUCGGCAGCAUCAGGGAAAGCAACGUUAAAGGAGCCUGGGGAAUGGAGGGGGGGCCUUGUAGAAAAGACCCUUCCCUUCCUCAGCCCCUCCCCGUCCCUACGUGUCUAGUAUAUACUGCACCCCCUCUUCUCACCUCCUCCCACCCUGUCUACCUGGAAGCCUGACGACUCCCCAGAUGUCCUUCCAUCUGCCCCAGGACUAUCUCUCCAAUGGAACCCCUCUGCAUCCUGUGUUAUCUUAUUGAGGGGGAAGGGGAAGAUAAAGAUCAAAUUCCUCACCAAGUCCUAUUACCCCUACAUGGUCUGGCUAGUUUCCUCUGGCUCUCUAUUCCAUCGUGCCCACCUAUCAUUUCCCCUAGUGUGAAAACAACCAUAUUCUCUAGCACCUCAGGGCCUUUGCACAUGCUGGCUUCUGUUUCUAACACGUCUUUCCCCCUACUCCUGCCCAUCCUUCAUCUCCGACCUCAUGUCGUCUCCUGCGAGGUUUUCCCUGACCACAGAUCUAAUCCAGUUCCCUAUUUUUGUCUCCCGAAGUGUUCCAUUCAUUCCAUUUAGAGUUCUCAGUUUAGAAUGUGUAUUUAUAUAAUUUAUUUUAAAAAUUGUAAUGUUUAUUUUUGAGAUAGAGAGCACAAGCAGGGAAGGGGCAGAGAGGGAGACACAGAAUCUGAAGCAGGCUCCAGGCUUCGAGCUGUCAGCACAGAGCCCGACGUGGGGCUCGGGAAAUCACAAACCCCGAGACCAUGACCUAAGCUGAAAUCGGACACUUAACCGACUGAGCCACCCAGGUGCCCCCUUACAUAAUUUAUAUAUACAGCAAUCAUGUAAGUGUGUACACUGUUAAGUUCGUAAACACGUUGUUCUUCGUUCUUCAGUGCCGUAUCCCCAGAACCCAGGGGAGGGCCCUGAGUCUUAGUAAGUAUGUGUAGAAUGAAUUCCAGGAUCCAGCUGGAAUGGCGACCACAACCGGUGGCCUGUGGCUCCAGUCCAUCUCUUGCAUGUGUUAUAUUUGGACUGGAAUUUAUUUUUAAAAAUUAACCAGUUGCCAGCAUGUAAAAUUUGGGAAAGUCACAUAAAACGUUUGGCAUUUCUUUUAAAACAUUUGGAAGAGGGGCAACACAGAGGCUGUGUUUUUGUGAGGGGGCUAGUAACUACAGCUUAGGGGCGGCUACCUGCUCUACACAGGGCAUGCACCUGACCCUCCUCUGUGGUCUCCAGUCUCUGUUCGUUCCUACCCCCCUUUUACGCUUUCUUUCUCCGUCCUUGUGGGUGGGUGUUGGCAGUUUUGACCCUUGCAGGGGCCUCCCAACUGUAAGGUUUUGUGGCUUUUCCCAAAGUGAACGGCUGGAUGGUGGAUUGGCGAUUGGUGGAGAUGGCUUUGGAAAUUAGAAAUGUGGCAGGUGUUAUGGACUGAAUUGUAUGCAGUCUUCCCAAAUUCGUAUGCGGAAGUCCUAACCCCGAGUACCUCGGACUGUGACUGUACUUGGAGGUACAGCCUUGAAGAGGUCAUUAAGUUAAAAUUAUGUCAUCAGGGUGGACCCUGAUCCAGCAUGACUGAUGGCAUUGUAAGAGGAGGAAAGCUAGACACAGACACACAAAGGGAAGAGCGUGUGAAGACACAGCAAAAGAGAAGAUGGUCAUCUACAAGCCAAAGAGAGAGGCCUCAGAAGGACCCAGCCCUGCUCACCCUGAUGCCUUGAUCUUGGACUUCUAGCCUCCAGAAUUGUGAACAAAUACCUUUCGGUUGUUUAAGCAACUCAGUUUACGGCACUUUGUUAUAGCAACCCCAGCAAGCUAACACACAGGGAUUGCUAGUUGCCUCCAAAUAUCUCUUUAGUAACAUCACACUGCAUUUCAGCUGGGAAAGCACCCCCGGCCCCGCCAACCACCCAGCUAAAAGGCUAGAUUUCUCAACAGCCCUUGCAGCUUGUAGCUGCAGUCAUGUGACCCAGUUGUGGUCAUAUAACCAAGUUCAUAGGACAUAGUCUUAAAAGAGACAUAGCACAUUUUAUCAAUCCUUCCCCUUUCUCCAUUUUGCUGCCUGAAGCUUGGAUGGAUGGCCGGAGCUCUAGCAGUCAUGCAGAACCACGAAGAUAAGGGCUCCACCCUAGGAUGGUAAAGCAGGCAGCCGGAAGGGGUUUGGGUCCCCAAGAAGAUGAAAUGGUGCUGCCGUACUGAAGUGCCUACCUCAAGACUUCUUUUACACGGGAGAAAUAAACUUCCAGCUUGCUUAA